rnacentral:misc_RNA from 1 species
GAUGAAGAACGUAGUGAAAUGCGAUACGUAAUGUGAAUUGCAGAAUUCAGUGAAUCAUCGAGUCUUUGAACGCACAUUGCGCCCCCUGGUAUUCCGGGGGGCAUGCCUGUCCGAGCGUCAUUGCUGCCCUCAAGCACGGCUUGUGUGUUGGGCCUCCGUCCUCCUCCCGGGGGACGGGCCCGAAAGGCAGCGGCGGCACCGCGUCCGGUCCUCGAGCGUAUGGAGCUUCGUCACCCGCUCUUGUAGGCCCGGCCGGCGCUUGCCGACACAUCAAUCUUUUUUCCAGGUUGACCUCGGAUCAGGUAGGAAUACCCGCUGAACUUAAGCAUAUCAAUAAGCGGAGGA